CUUCCUCUUUUGUGUAUAUUUGGAGGUCUUGUAAUAAGUUAGUGGAUAAUUUAGCUAAAUUCUUUAACAAACAUGUGUAUGUACAUGUUGAUUCUAGACAAGGGGAAAAGUCUAGGAAGGAAAAAUGGUCUAACGUCUUGUGUAAUGAUAACAAUGUAAUCUCUUUCCGCCUCUAGUUUUAUGAAAUUUCCUUUUAUCAAAAAAAAAAUAAAAAAAAAUUGACGUUUUAAGAAUUGAGAGUAAUGAAUGAUUAACCAACCAAUGUUCUCUCUCCCUCUCUCACCGCGAAAUCCUAAAACCUCAAAUUCUUCAUUAUCCACCGCUGCUUAAUCAUGAACUUCAGUUUCUUCAUCCUUCUGGCUUUAAAUCGGUAGAGAAGCGUUGAAAUCGGUAAUGGUUAUGGUUUUCUAAAACCUAUUCAUUACAGACGAUUAAAUUUUUAGUGGUCCCUCCGAAUUAUUUCGUUGUCUUUUUCUCCGAAAAUCCAAUCGAUUCACGUCCUCAUGAGUUAUGUCUCUCUCGAUUUCCCUCUUUCUCUCUGCAACAUCUUUUUCACCUCCUCCAUAGCCCACAGUAUACUAUAGAUUUUAGGGCUUUUUUUACAGUUGAGGGAUUCAUGUUUGGGUUGAAGUAUUUGGGAUUGAAAUAGUCAUCUCCGUCUGUUUAUUUUAUAGUUGUUAUAAAUUAGUAAUGAUCUGAUUGAUUGGGAAAUCUCUGCGAGAAGUAAUUAAACAAGACAUUAUGGGGAAAUCUACUUUCAUCCAUCAGUCCAUACCAUGAUGGAAUUAUUAUUACUGCACAUUAAGGUGGAAAAAUCAAGCAUAUUUAAGGUAUGGAUAUAUGACCUUACUACCUUAGUAGUAAAGUCAUAGAAGACCUAUAAUCAUGUCUAAUAAUCGUACACUCCAGGAGAAUUGUGAAGUACUCUAUCGUAACAACACCAAUAGUACUGACCGGGUAAACUUUAUUAACCAGUGGUUCUAAACAGACCGAGGGUCUAAACCACACAAAAACAACAUCUCAAAAAGCUCUCAUGGAUUUCUUGGUGGGUCCCGGCGGGCCCGCCUAAGGACAGCAGGGGGGCGCUUAUGGUGGGGUCCAUUGAAAAUUUUAUUGAAGGUGUUGAAAGGCUAUGUCACGUGAAUCUUGGCACCAUCACUGGCACGGUGGCACCUACCACAGAUCAUUACUACACAGAAAACCUUAGGUGACAACUCGAAAUGGAGGAUCAAUUUUCAAAUUAACUGUACCCCAAAGAAUUAGACAUGGCAUAAUUCGUUUUUCUGGGCAUAGACAUACUCGAUCCACAUGGCUUAAAUUAUAACUCAUGCGUACCAUUUGCAAUUUUGUUAAAUAUUUAAACGGAUAGAACAAAUGUUGCAGUGCUUCAUACUACCAUGGCAUGAUAUGGGCAUCUUUGCAUCGACCUCGACAUACAUAGAAAUUCGAUGGAGGUAAUGGAACCAUUGAUCGUCUGGGUAUGGUGUUGUGGUAUUUAUGGUACAACAUAACACUGGACUCUGGAGCAUAGAAGAAGCCAAAUAGUUGAAUCAAGGAACGUGCAUUACAUCCAUAAGGGCCAUCCAUCUGUUUACUGCAGGUUGGUUUUGAAACCUCUCUGACGACCAUGGAGGGCUGCAACUCUAUGCCCAUGAUGCAUAGCAAAAGGGGUGCUCCAGUAUGGCUUUGGUGCAGAUACAUUUUCAUACCCUGCACCGAUUUCAGCAAGAACAGACAUUUUGAUAUCCGUAUUGAGACUGGUGAAAUUCCAAGGACCAGUAUGUCUUUGGUGCAAGGUUGAGUCAUGCAUAUUUGCUUGGUAAUAAAUUUUUGUGAAGGUCCAGCUAGCAAGUAAAAAUUACAACAACCUCAAAUUACAUUAUAACAUAUUUUUGAGCCUGCUUCAAAAAAAAAUAAAAAAUAAAAUAAAAUUGAGACUUCAUCA